UUCUACUAUUCCCAAAACACAUCAAUUUUAGGGUAUUCUUGAUGUAAUUUACGAAGAAAUCAAGCAAAUCAGACAAAGCAAGACAUUCGAAGAUUUAUGUGGUCCUUGAGAAGAUGAAGAAGGAAAAUUCAAGAGGCAUCAGAAGACUUUACAAAUGGAGGAAUUUGUUCCCAAGUUUCAAUACAUCUUACAUUGAAGAAAACACCUAAACUGGCGAAAAAAAUAGGCAAAACAACACAGAAAACGCACUGAGGCGCCCAAACGCGCCUUAGAGUGGGCUAGGCACCCCCAGAGCUGUUGAAAUAAAGCACCUAGUGCAUGCCAGGGAGCUCUAGGUGCCUCAGGCUGGCAAGCACAUGCGCCUAGCGCAUGGCCUUAGGUGCCUAGCGCAUGGUGACUUACGAAAAAAGUAAUUUUUUGUGACUUUUUCGCCCCUAUAAGCCCAUGUGUUUAGCCCAAGUUAGGUGAAACUUUCUCUAUAAAUACCGCCUUCCUCAUUCAUAAUCUCUUGCUCAGAACUGGAGCAAUUCAAGAAAAAUGUGAUUCUUUGAGCCAAAGAGGAGUUCUAUCUUCUCCUAUCUUUUCUAGCGUAUUUUUUUAUCUUUUUGUAUUUUGUCUUGGUUAUCAUGUGUAACUAAAUACUUAUAGGCUAGGGUUCUAAGAUAAACCGCUUCUAAGAUAAACCGCUAUUUGUUUUGUUGUAUAAUAUUUUAAUUCAAUGUCGUUUAUUUUAGUAUGUUUUAUGUUCGCUGUUAAGUUUUAUUAGGAUUAGUUUAUUCCGACGAAGUGCAACUCUAGAUUAGGUAUUUAGGUUGUGAGCGGGUCUAAUAUUGAUCUUACUGUCCUGAUGUUUAUAUCUGGAUAUUUAUAUCUUGUAUAUUAAUAUCUACCUAUCUAAAAAGUAAGUGAUUAAUAACUAGACGAAAGAUAUACCAAGAGUGAGUUGAGCCUAGUAGUAAGUACAACUUUACUAACUUGUCAUCAUUUAAAUAUUUUUUUUUUUUUUUACCUUUCAUGAGAGUAAAGUGAAAAAAUACAUUUUUAUAUCAUCAUAAAGUUACGUAGGAAUAUAAAGCACCCUUAGAUAUUUAUGAACAAUCUAACUUUUUUUAUUAAAUCAUUGGAUCAUAAAGAAUUUAUAUUUAAACAAUUUCAUUGCAUAAUUUAUUCAACUUUCUUAUUGACAUCAAUUGUAUGAAUCAAAUAUAUACCAUUGGCCCCUUUCUUGUAUAUUGAUAGGCUUUUAGCAAGUGUAUUAUAAACUACCAAAGCAAUAAAGUAUAAAAUUUGUAUCCACAUGGACUGCAUUAGUUUCUACUAGGCAAAGACAUAAUCAACACAGAUGUAUUAAAAUUUGGGGGUUGCACAAGGCAAAUAGUUUCUUUAACAAUCAUAAAUUAAAUAGCAAAAAGUAAAUGGUUUCAAAUCCCAUAUCCGUCAAUGUUUGGUAAUCUGCAUCUAAACCCUACAAUUGUUCUUCAAAUUUCAUUAUAUUUUUAAUAAAAACACAAUGUAACUUUUUUUUCCGUCUUAUUUUUGUUAGAGCAGUUCUUCUAAUUAUUUGUUCAUACCUUUUUUUUUUUAUAAAAUAGCAAAGUUUUAACAACAAACAUUAUAAUUAUUUUCUUUAAAACCAAUCAAAACUUUUUGUUGCCUCCGUACAAACUAAGGAAAAUAAUAACCUAAAAUGUUGAUAAAGGUAUUCGUUCGAAGUAAUAUUUUUAUAUUAUUGAUUAGAAUAUAAAUCUUUUUGGAUUAGUUACAUGACUAUUUUUUAUGUUUAGGGAUGUUUUUUUCAAUUAAAUAAAAGUUUGUUUUUUGAAAAAGUCUAUUUGAUUUAAAUAGGGGCUAAUUUUUACUAUUAGAGUCGGAUCUCCAAUUUCCUAGAAACGACCUCACACACACAUGUGUGUGUGUUAAGCAAAUUAGUCUAAAGACCCCGCGACACAUACGGAUAAUUGGGUCUCUUAAGCAUAUUGGUUCUGUAUUCAACUUUAGUACCGAGUAUGUACGAAAAAUAUAUUGUUGGAAUAGGCAAAUUCCAUGUUAGUGAUCUCUAAGCCUAGAGGAGGAUUUUGUUUAUCACAACUGUCUGAAAAAUUCUUUUCAAGUGGUAGUCAUUGGUC
rnacentral:lncRNA from 1 species